CUUACUGUUCGGACGUUGUUGCCUCGAUAUGGCUGGUGACGUUUUUAAUCUCAUGUAUCACCGUUUGUCUUGGAACGCAUAAGAAUUCUUUGCGUUUAUCUUGAUGUAGUCAAGACACCACAUCAACGAUGCAAUUAAUUUUGUUAUGCGGAUCGGUGUAACUCGAACAAAGGCACUCGAUAAGGACCGGAAUUCGGUCGAAACGUCGUGCAAUUCCUAUAUCAAUUGGCCAGUUGGGUCGAAAUAAACCGAUUUAUUUUGAAGAUAUUUAGCUUCAAACUCGAGCAUGAGCGAUAUUUGAGCGAGGAAACAACAAGGAAUGAGAGAGAGUUGAGUUGAAGUAUAUAUACAUGUAUGUAUUUAUCAUUUUAAUGUAGGUAAUCAAAUCUACUCUAUGGAAAUUGCACAAUUAUAUAUGAUAUUUUGCAUUAAUUUAUAAUAGUUGAUAUAACUUAUCAA